rnacentral:rRNA from 1 species
GACAGAGGGUGCAAACGUUGUUCGGAAUUACUGGGCGUAAAGGGCGCGUAGGCGGCUUGGUCAGUCCCGUGUGAAAUCCCUCGGCUCAACUGAGGAACUGCACGGGAAACUGCCUGGCUUGAGUUCGGGAGAGGGAAGCGGAAUUCCGGGUGUAGCGGUGAAAUGCGUAGAUAUCCGGAGGAACACCGGUGGCGAAGGCGGCUUCCUGGACCGACACUGACGCUGAGGCGCGAAAGCUAGGGGAGCAAACGGG